GUGAGGGAUGCACGGUCGGUCCCCGAUCGCGAUAUGGAGAAGCAGUCGCGCAGUUAGUUACUAGAGGGUUGUUAUUCUGUACUGCAACAAACUUUUCUCUAUUGGCUAUCUCGGACGCUGGGCUUCCGAGUCGUGCAGAUCAAGUCAGCCAACAGUUGAGCGUGAAUCUACAUCCUGCAAGGCCAAUAUAAGGCCAUAUAAUAUACGGAUUGUCUGCUUUGGACGAUAAACCUCCGCUCACGUUGAGCGAACACAUCUGAAAGCACCUUGUGUUGAGAAAAAAGCAAACUGUGAGAAUUGCGAUCGUGUACAUUGAUCUAUACCAUCGGACUACCUGUGAAUGAUUCUUCUGCACCCUGUGACUCAACUGUUUCAAGUGUUGUUUUUCUGAAUUUUAAGACCAACUUGAUAUUUCUCAUCUGUUGCACUACUCGGGAUAUACUGACAUUUAAGAUACAGACAUUGUGGAGACAUUCUUCUUGGCACGUGUUGAGUUGCAGAAUCUAAUCCAAAUGCCUCUUUGCUUCACCGGGUGCAACCCCUUGAAAGGAUGCCGGUCAUAAAACAGGGAAGCUUCGAAUUGAGAAAACCCGUGAAAGAGGGACUCUAGAAGGCAGUUGUCUUUCCGGAACUAUGGAGUAGUUUCCCUUGCUCAAGACAAGACCCUUGCAACACUUAAGUGUCUACCAUACGAACCUCUCAGUUUUUGGAAAUAGUGAACAGUGAGUACAGUUUGUG
rnacentral:lncRNA from 1 species